UGGUUGUUGUGGGUGGAAUGUGUGGUGUAGCGGUGAAAUGCUUAGAGAUCACACAGAAUAUCGAUUGCGAAGGCAGCUCACAAAGCCAAGAUUGACGCUGAGGCACGAAAGUGUGGGGAUCAAACAGGAUUAGAUACCCUGGUAGUCCACACUGUAAACGAUGAUAACUCGCUGUCGGCGAUACACAGGCGGUGGCCAAGCGAAAGCGAUAAGUUAUCCACCUGGGGAGUACGACCGCAAGGUUGAAACUC
rnacentral:rRNA from 1 species